AGUGAACGCUGGCGGUAGGCCUAACACAUGCCAGUCGAACGGCAGCACAGUAAGAGCUUGCUCUUACGGGUGGCGAGUGGCGGACGGGUGAGGAAUACAUCGGAAUCUACUUUUUCGUGGGGGAUAACGUAGGGAAACUUACGCUAAUACCGCAUACGACCUACGGGUGAAAGCAGGGGAUCUUCGGACCUUGCGGGAUUGAAUGAGCCGAUGUCGGAUUAGCUAGUUGGCGGGGUAAAGGCCCACCAAGGCGACGAUCCGUAGCUGGUCUGAGAGGAUGAUCAGCCACACUGGAACUGAGACACGGUCCAGACUCCUACGGGAGGCAGCAGUGGGGAAUAUUGGACAAUGGGCGCAAGCCUGAUCCAGCCAUACCGCGUGGGUGAAGAAGGCCUUCGGGUUGUAAAGCCCUUUUGUUGGGAAAGAAAAGCAGCAGGUUAAUACCCCGCUGUUCUGACGGUACCCAAAGAAUAAGCACCGGCUAACUUCGUG
rnacentral:rRNA from 1 species